rnacentral:rRNA from 1 species
UAAGACGUAGGGGGCGAGCGUUGUCCGGAAUUACUGGGCGUAAAGAGCACGUAGGCGGGAACUUAAGUCAGGUGUGAAAGACCGGGGCUCAACUCCGGGGUUGCACUUGAAACUGGGUUUCUUGAGGGCAGGAGAGGAAAGCAGAAUUCCUGGUGUAGCGGUGAAAUGCGUAGAAAUCAGGAGGAAUACCAGUGGCGAAGGCGGCUUUCUGGACUGACCCUGACGCUGAGGUGCGAAAGCGUGGGUAGCAAACAGG